ACCCCCUUGUGGCUGGAUUUGAGUUAGGUUUCGUUUUUGUGUCAGAAAGUCAGUCAGUCGAGCAUGGACUCUCACAGCAUGGCAGAGAGACAGUGUUUUCAGCGUUUUUAAGCCUUGGAGUAUCUUUGUCCACGUCUGUAGCCGAUUGUGUGAGCAGAAAUGGGUCGACAAGUUUUACAUAAAAGAUGAAAACGUUAUCAACGCCUGAAGUCUUUUUUGUCAGCUAUCUGUCUAGCAUGGUCCAGAACGCUUGUGCGAGGACAGAAUAGUAAAAGGACAGUUACACGGCGGGCUAGAACCAGAUUCACUGUCGACCACACACUGCAGCCAAGACAAGAACAUCAUGGACCAACAAAGGCAAGCAGACCAAACCGGAGAUUUUGAGGUCGUGUCACAAAUUGCAGGGUCCAAGUCAUCUGGGAGAUCAAGUAGGUCCUCAGCCAGUGCAGCAGCUACCAAGGCAAAAGCUAAAGCAGAGGCGGCCCUGGUAGAAGCCAGGUAUGCAGCACAAGAAGCGGAGAUGAUGAAAGAAAAGGCCCGCAUUGAAGCUGAAAAUCGAAAAAUGUUAGCUGAAGCAGAACAGCGCAAAGCAGAGUUGGAAGCAAAUCUGUAUGUCCUAAAAGUAAACAGGAGCGCUAAAGCAGCCUCAGCAGAAGCAGCAGUUUAUGAAGCUGCAGCAGCAAUAGAGUCUACUCCACUGGAAGAAAU